UGGGGAAUUUUGCGCAAUGGGGGAAACCCUGACGCAGCAACGCCGCGUGGAGGAUGAAGCCCCUUGGGGUGUAAACUCCUUUCGAUCGGGACGAUUAUGACGGUGCCGGAUGAAGAAGCACCGGCUAACUCUGUGCCAGCAGCCGCGGUAAUACAGAGGGUGCAAGCGUUGUUCGGAAUUAUUGGGCGUAAAGGGUGCGUAGGCGGUGCGGUAAGUCUUCUGUGAAAUCUCCGGGCUCAACCCGGAGCCUGCAGAGGAAACUGCCGUGCUGGAGUAUGGGAGAGGUGAGUGGAAUUCCCGGUGUAGCGGUGAAAUGCGUAGAUAUCGGGAAGAACACCUGUGGCGAAAGCGGCUCACUGGACCAUUACUGACGCUGAUGCACGAAAGCUAGGGGAGCAAACAGGAUUAGAUACCCUGGUAGUCCUAGCCCUAAACGAUGAUCGCUUGGUGUGACAGGUACCCAAUCCUGUUGUGCCGGAGCUAACGCGUUAAGCGAUCCGCCUGGGGGGUACGGUCGCAAGGCUG
rnacentral:rRNA from 1 species